AAUUUUUAAAUUUUGCACAAAUAAAUUCCUAAAUAUUUAGCAACGUGUGUAAUGUGCUUCUCGAUCGUUACUUGUUCAAAUAUAAUCGACAGAUCAAGUGAAGUGUUAUUAAAUUUGAAAAACGAAAUUAGAUAUAAAAAGAAAUAUAGAGGGAAAAAAAAUUAUAAUAGUGGUGAAUAGUGGUGAAUAGUAGUGAAUAAGAUUCGAUGAAAGAAAACGUUAGUGAUCAACUGCGUAAUCCGCUUAAAGUUAGUCGUUGAAACGUUGAAAAAUAGAACUGUUUCGAUCAGUGCAGUACGUUCGGGAUAGUGAAAAAAGCUGCUAAAGUAAUGAAACUGGAAACUCCAAAUAUUUUUAGCUAGAAGAGACUAUUGAUGAUUCAAAAUAUAUGUGUGUUUACAAUGAUUCCAAAUGAUGAAGUGAGAAAAUUUUCGAUAAAGCAAAUAGUGGAAAAUAAAAAAAGUGAUCGAGAAAAGUGGAAAAAAAGAUCAAAAAGAUCAAAGUGAUAUUGACAAACGUCGGUGAUCAACCGUGUAAUCCAUUUAACCGUGGAAAUUAGUCAUUGUAGAGAGGAAAAAUGGAACUGUUUCGAUUACUCGUUAUUUCCUCUCAAUUGAAUAUUGAGAACAAUUGAUUGAUAAUCAGAAGUGGAAAAUUAGAAAAUUAGUUGGGACUCAUUAUUAACUGCUGAUGCUUUUUGUUUCUUCGCCUAUUUCCAUGCUAAAUAUUUUGCAACAACCAACAAUAUAUUCGAAACCAUUCACGGAUACAUAACACCCAUAGUACCUCGAAAGAAGAAGGAUCAGCCUGAAUACACUGAAUCAAAUCGAAUGAAACCGCUCGUAAAACAGUAAAAUAUAACGAUCAAACACAAUUGUAUCAAUCGACUCGAUGGAUAAUAAUUAACGAACAAUUAAUGACACCGACACAAGUCACUGAACAACCAUUAUGUAACUCGCGAUACGAGACGUAUAAAAAAAAAGAGGGAAAAACACUUUUAAUUCGAAAAAAAAACACGAUCGAUUUACCGAAUUUUUAAGGUUAACACCGCAGUGGAAGGAAACCGGUCGCGGACCGGCUGCUGUUUCCUCACGCACGUGUUACUCGACCCCACGAAAGUCACUAGGCGGCCAGUGCGACCCCCGCCAGUCGUGGAGAAGACGGUGGGUGUGAGACAGGAUGCCUGAACGUCUGCCUAUGGGGGGGAUGGCGUUGGUGGGGACAUGAGAAAUAGUGGGGCGGAAAAACAGGAACAAGCGGGUAUUCGUGAUAUGCUUGUUGGAUGCUGCGCAGUCUCUGCACUUGUAUCACGGAACGGACUUUCUAUGAUAAAGCUUGACAAUACUUUUCUGGCAUGGCGAGGCGAUUGUAAUUUGAUAGUAAGGAGAUCGGAAGAUAGAAGAUGAUGCGAGAAGGAUAUGUUUGAAUUUAGGAAGUUUUAAGUUUAAUUAUAGUUUUGGCUUUUGAAAUCUAAAUGAAAAUGAUGAGAAUGAUCUAUUGGAUGAUAAAUAGAUCGAUUUUUGAUAAAAAUAGUAUAAAAAUUUCUUUUGAAUAUAGAUUAUAUAUUCAAAAGAAAGAUAUAAAAAUUUUCAAUUAAAUUUAACUUAUAUGAAAUUUAUAUUAAUUUUUGUUUUACAUAUAUUAUCUUUUACUACUUGAUAUACUAUCAUAUAAAAUUAUAAAUAAAAUUUUAAAUAUUCUGUUGCAGAAUAUCUUGAAGGAACACGAAUUGCAAGUUUGAGAAAACGUGUUCAAUUGACAUCCUGUAUCUCGUGCAAUCACGUGCCAAAAGUAUAGACAGAGAUAAAAGAUUGUAAAAGGAGGACAGAGAUAAAGUAAAAAUAUUGAAAUCAGCGCCAUCUUUGGAGUGGCGCAAAUGAAACACGGAAAGAAAGGAUAGAAAAUGGUAGGAGAAGGAUAGUGAUAUAGUAAAAACGGACUCUUAGCACCAUCUUUCGACAAUUUUUCGAAGAUAAAAAAAGUUUUGUAAAAAGAAAAUUUGGAAAGCGAUGCCAAUUACCGGGUCUCACCGACGAGGAGGUGACUACGCAUCGAGACCC